rnacentral:rRNA from 1 species
GACGAACGCUGGCGGCGUGCCUAAUACAUGCAAGUCGAGCGGACUUUCAAGAAGCUUGCUUUUUGAAAGUUAGCGGCGGACGGGUGAGUAACACGUGGGCAACCUGCCUGCAAGACGGGGAUAACUCCGGGAAACCGGGGCUAAUACCGGAUAAUAUCUUCCUUCGCAUGAAGGAAGGUUGAAAGGCGGCGCAAGCUGCCGCUUGCAGAUGGGCCCGCGGCGCAUUAGCUAGUUGGUGAGGUAACGGCUCACCAAGGCGACGAUGCGUAGCCGACCUGAGAGGGUGAUCGGCCACACUGGGACUGAGACACGGCCCAGACUCCUACGGGAGGCAGCAGUAGGGAAUCUUCCGCAAUGGACGAAAGUCUGACGGAGCAACGCCGCGUGAGCGAAGAAGGUCGUCGGAUCGUAAAGCUCGGUUGUCAGGGAAGAACAAGUACCGUUCGAACAGGGCGGUACCUUGACGGUACCUGACCAGAAAGCCACGGCUAACUACGUG